GACGAACGCGGCGGCGUGCCUAAUACAUGCAAGUAGAACGCUGAAGGAGGAGCUUGCUUCUCUGGAUGAGUUGCGAACGGGUGAGUAACGCGUAGGUAACCUGCCUGGUAGCGGGGGAUAACUAUUGGAAACGAUAGCUAAUACCGCAUAAGAGUAGAUGUUGCAUGACAUUUGCUUAAAAGGUGCAAUUGCAUCACUACCAGAUGGACCUGCGUUGUAUUAGCUAGUUGGUGAGGUAACGGCUCACCAAGGCAACGAUACAUAGCCGACCUGAGAGGGUGAUCGGCCACACUGGGACUGAGACACGGCCCAGACUCCUACGGGAGGCAGCAGUAGGGAAUCUUCGGCAAUGGACGGAAGUCUGACCGAGCAACGCCGCGUGAGUGAAGAAGGUUUUCGGAUCGUAAAGCUCUGUUGUAAGAGAAGAACGAGUGUGAGAGUGGAAAGUCACACUGUGACGUAUCUACCAAAAAGGACG
rnacentral:rRNA from 1 species